rnacentral:rRNA from 1 species
CGAGCGCGGGAAGCAAGCUGAUCCUCUUCGGAGGUGACGCUUGUGGAACGAGCGGCGGACGGGUGAGUAACACGUGGGCAACCUGCCUGUAAGACUGGGAUAACCCCGGGAAACCGGGGCUAAUACCGGAUAAUACUUUUCAUCACCUGAUGGAAAGUUGAAAGGUGGCUUUUAGCUACCACUUACAGAUGGGCCCGCGGCGCAUUAGCUAGUUGGUGAGGUAACGGCUCACCAAGGCAACGAUGCGUAGCCGACCUGAGAGGGUGAUCGGCCACACUGGGACUGAGACACGGCCCAGACUCCUACGGGAGGCAGCAGUAGGGAAUCUUCCGCAAUGGACGAAAGUCUGACGGAGCAACGCCGCGUGAGUGAUGAAGGUUUUCGGAUCGUAAAGCUCUGUUGUUAGGGAAGAACAAGUGCCGUUCGAAUAGGGCGGCACCUUGACGGUACCUAACCAGAAAGCCCCGGCUAACUACGUGCCAGCAGCCGCGGUAAUACGUAGGGGGCAAGCGUUGUCCGGAAUUAUUGGGCGUAAAGCGCGCGCAGGCGGUCCUUUAAGUCUGAUGUGAAAGCCCACGGCUCAACCGUGGAGGGUCAUUGGAAACUGGAGGACUUGAGUACAGAAGAGGAGAGUGGAAUUCCACGUGUAGCGGUGAAAUGCGUAGAGAUGUGGAGGAACACCAGUGGCGAAGGCGACUCUCUGGUCUGUAACUGACGCUGAGGCGCGAAAGCGUGGGGAGCGAACAGGAUUAGAUACCCUGGUAGUCCACGCCGUAAACGAUGAGUGCU